ACGGAAGGCAGCAGUGGGGAAUAUUGGGCAAUGGGCGAAAGCCUGACCCAGCAACGCCGCGUGAAGGAAGAAGGCCUUCGGGUUGUAAACUUCUUUUACCAGGGACGAAGGACGUGACGGUACCUGGAGAAAAAGCCACGGCUAACUACGUGCCAGCAGCCGCGGUAAUACGUAGGUGGCAAUCGUUGUCCGGAUGUACUGGGUGUAAAGGGCGUGUAGGCGGAGCUGUAAGUCAGAUGUGAAAUCCCGGGGCUCAACCCCGGAACUGCAUUUGAAACUGCAGUCCUUGAGUAUAGGAGAGGCAAGCGGAAUUCCUAGUGUAGCGGUGAAAUGCGUAGAUAUUAGGAGGAACACCAGUGGCGAAGGCGGCUUGCUGGACGACAACUGACGCUGAGGCGCGAAAGCGUGGGGAGCAAACAGGAUUAGAUACCCUGGUA
rnacentral:rRNA from 1 species